rnacentral:rRNA from 1 species
UUGUUGGUAAAUCUCGUGCCAGCCACCGCGGUUAUACGAUAGACUCAAGUUGACAAACAUCGGCGUAAAGCGUGGUUAAAAAAAAUUACUAAACUAAAGCCGAACGCACUCCAAGCUGUCAUACGUUCUUGAAGAUAAGAAGCCCUAUAACGAAAGUAGCUUUAACCACUUGACCCCACGAAAACUGAGAAACAAACUAGGAUUAGAUACCCCA